rnacentral:rRNA from 1 species
CCUAACACAUGCAAGUCGAACGGUAACAUUUCUAGCUUGCUAGAAGAUGACGAGUGGCGGACGGGUGAGUAAUACUUAGGAAUAUGCCUUUGUGUGGGGGAUAACUAUUGGAAACGAUAGCUAAUACCGCAUAACGUCUUCGGACCAAAGGGGGCUUCGGCUCCCGCGCAAAGAGUAGCCUAAGCGAGAUUAGCUUGUUGGUGAGGUAAAGGCUCACCAAGGCGACGAUCUCUAGCUGUUCUGAGAGGAAGAUCAGCCACACUGGAACUGAGACACGGUCCAGACUCCUACGGGAGGCAGCAGUGGGGAAUAUUGCACAAUGGGGGAAACCCUGAUGCAGCCAUGCCGCGUGUGUGAAGAAGGCCUUCGGGUUGUAAAGCACUUUCAGUUGUGAGGAAAGGUUAACGGUUAAUACCCGUUAGCUGUGACGUUAGCAACAGAAGAAGGACCGGCUAACUCCGUGCCAGCAGCCGCGGUAAUACGGAGGGUCCGAGCGUUAAUCGGAAUUACUGGGCGUAAAGCGCACGCAGGCGGUUUGUUAAGCUAGAUGUGAAAGCCCUGGGCUCAACCUGGGAAUUGCAUUUAGAACUGGCAGGCUAGAGUUUUGGAGAGGGGAGUGGAAUUCCAGGUGUAGCGGUGAAAUGCGUAGAUAUCUGGAGGAACAUCAGUGGCGAAGGCGACUCCCUGGUCAGUAACUGACGCUCAUGUGCGAAAGUGUGGGUAGCGAACAGGAUUAGAUACCCUGGUAGUCCACACCGUAAACGCUGUCUACUAGCUGUUUGUGGAUUUAAUCCGUGAGUAGCGAAGCUAACGCGAUAAGUA